AAUGCAUAUUCUCGUUUCUGGGCAAGAGUAGUAACCAGUUUAAAUUGGGUACGUUUUUUAUCCGGCCGUGAAAAUACUGCCCCCUAUCCUAGACAGGUUAAACUGACUUGGCACUCCGUCACUGCUUGCCAAGCGGUAAUAGAGAGAACAGUCUAUGACUGGGGUGGCUGGGGUCUCUGACAAUUUAUAGGGCCUUCCUCUGACACCGCCUGGUGUAGAGGUCCUGGAAGGAAGGCAGCUUAGCCCCAGUGAUGUACUGGGCCGUACGCACUACCCUUUGUAGUGCCUUGCCGUCUGAGGCCGAGCAACUGCCGUACAAGGCAGUGAUGCAACCGGUCAGGAUGCUCUCAAUGUUGUAGCUGUAGAACCUUUUGAGGAUUUCAGGACCCAUGCCAAAUCUUUUUAGUUUCCUGAGGGGGAAUAGGCUUUGUCGUGCCCUCUUCACCACUGUCUUGGUGUGUUUGGACAAUUCUAGUUUGUUGUUGAUGUGGAAACCAAGGAACUUGAAGCUCUCAACCUGCUCCACUACAACCCUGUCGAUGAGAAUGGGGGCGUGCCCGGUCCUCCUUUUCCUGUAGUCCACAAUCAUCUCCUUAUUCUUGGUUAUGUUGAGGGAUAGGUUGUAAUUCUGGCACCAUCCAACCAGAUCUCUGACCUCCUCCCUAUAGGCUGUCUCGUCGCUGUCGGUGAUCAGGCCUACCACUGUUGUGUCGUCUGCAAACUUAAUGAUGGUGUUGGAGUCGUGCCUGGCCAUGCAGUCGUGGGUGAACAGGGAGUACAGGAGGGGACUGAGCACGCACCCCUGGGGAGCUCCAGUGUUGAGGAUCAGCUUGGCAGAUGUGUUGCUACCUACCCUCACCACCUGGGGGCGGCCCAUCAGGAAGUCCAGGAUCCAGUUGCAGAGGAAGGUGGGAAAGGGCAGUGUGGAGUGCAAUAGAGGUCAUCAUCUGCAUCAUCUGUGGAUCUGUUUGAGCGGUAUGCAAAUUGGAGUGGGUCUAGGGGUUUCUGGGAUAAUGGUGUUGAUGUGAGCCAUUACCAACCUUUCAAAGGACUUCAUGGCUACGGACCUGAGUGCUAUUGUUCUGUAGUGAUUUAGGCAGGUUGCCUUUGUUUUCUUGGGCACAGGGACUAAGGUGGUCUGCUUGAAACAUGUUAGUAU
rnacentral:lncRNA from 1 species